rnacentral:rRNA from 1 species
GUGUCAGCAGCCGCGGUAAAACGUAGGGGGCGAGCGUUGUCCGGAAUUACUGGGCGUAAAGGGCACGCAGGCGGUACGCCAAGUCGGGGGUGUAAAGUUACGGCUCAACCGUGACCUUGCAAUCGAUACUGGCGUACUGGAGUGCGGGAGAGGGAAGUGGAAUUCCCGGUGUAGCGGUGAAAUGCGUAGAUAUCGGGAGGAACGCCAGUGGCGAAGGCGGCUUCCUGGCCCGCGACUGACGCUCAUGCACGAAAGCGUGGGGAGCAAACAGGAUUAGAUACCCGGGUAGUCCUGGCCGUAAACGAUGGGUGCUAGGUGUAGGCGCGUCAAGCGUCUGUGCCGCAGUUAACGCGAUAAGCACCUCGCCUGGGGAGUACGGCCGCAAGGUUGAAACUUAAAUGAAUUGACGG